CUACGUGCCAGCAGCCGCGGUAAUACGGAAGGUCCCGGCGUUAUCCGGAUUUAUUGGGUUUAAAGGGAGCGCAGACUGCUUGUCAAGCGUGCAGUGAAACGCCGUGGCCCAACCACGGUCCUGCUGCGCGAACUGGCUUGCUUGAGUGGGCUGUAGGUACGCGGAAUUCGUGGUGUAGCGGUGAAAUGCUUAGAUAUCAUGACGAACUCCGAUUGCGAAGGCAGCGUACGGGAGUGUUACUGACGCUUAAGCUCGAAGGUGCGGGUAUCGAACAGGAUUAGAUACCCUGGUAGUCCGCACGGUAAACGAUGGAUGCCCGCUGUUAGCGCCUGGCGUUAGCGGCUAAGCGAAAGCAUUAAGCAUCCCACCUGGGGAGUACGCCGGCAACGGUGAAACUCAAAGGAAUUGACGGGGGCCCGCACAAGCGGAGGAACAUGUGGUUUAAUUCGAUGAUACGCGAGGAACCUUACCCGGGCUUGAAUUGCAGACGCAGGAUACAGAGAUGU
rnacentral:rRNA from 1 species